AGAGUUCGAUCCUGGCUCAGGAUGAACGCUAGCGGCAGGCCUAAUACAUGCAAGUCGAACGAUACUCUUUAGCUUGCUAAGGAGGAAAGUGGCGCACGGGUGCGUAACGCGUAUGCAACCUACCUUAAUCAGGGGGAUAGCCCGAAGAAAUUCGGAUUAACACCGCAUAAAAUCACAGCACAGCAUUGUGCAAUGAUCAAAUAUUUAUAGGAUUAAGAUGGGCAUGCGUGACAUUAGUUAGUUGGCGGGGUAACGGCCCACCAAGACCACGAUGUCUAGGGGAUCUGAGAGGAUGACCAGUCACACGGGCACUGAGACACGGGCCAGACUCCUACGGGAGGCAGCAGUGGGGAAUAUUGCACAAUGGGCGUAAGCCUGAUGCAGCAACGCCGCGUGCGGGAUGACGGCCUUCGGGUUGUAAACCGCUUUCGCCUGUGACGAAGCGUGAGUGACGGUAAUGGGUAAAGAAGCACCGGCUAACUACGUGCCAGCAGCCGCGGUGAUACGUAGGGUGCGAGCGUUGUCCGGAUUUAUUGGGCGUAAAGGGCUCGUAGGUGGUUGAUCGCGUCGGAAGUGUAAUCUUGGGGCUUAACCCUGAGCGUGCUUUCGAUACGGGUUGACUUGAGGAAGGUAGGGGAGAAUGGAAUUCCUGGUGGAGCGGUGGAAUGCGCAGAUAUCAGGAGGAACACCAGUGGCGAAGGCGGUUCUCUGGGCCUUUCCUGACGCUGAGGAGCGAAAGCGUGGGGAGCGAACAGGCUUAGAUACCCUGGUAGUCCACGCUGUAAACGGUGGGUACUAGGUGUGGGGUCCAUUCCACGGGUUCCGUGCCGUAGCUAACGCAUUAAGCGCCCCGCCUGGGGAGUACGGCCGCAAG
rnacentral:rRNA from 1 species